GAUGAAGAACGUAGCGAAAUGCGAUAAGUAAUGUGAAUUGCAGAAUUCAGUGAAUCAUCGAAUCUUUGAACGCAUCUUGCGCUCCUUGGUAUUCUGAGGAGCAUGCUUGUUUGAGUGUCAUUAAAUUCUCAACUACACUGACUUUGAAUUGGUGUGGCUUGGAUUUGGGGGGAAAAUUGUUGUGGGCUUUUUGUAUAGUCUGCUCCCCUGAAAUUGAUUAGCGGUACCUUUGUGGAACUGUCUACAGGUGUGAUAAUUAUCUACAUCUUAGACAUCUGCUGGAAUGCUGCUUUCUAAACCUUCCUUGUAUUGACAAUCUUGACCUCAAAUCAGGUAGGACUACCCGCUGAACUUAAGCAUAUCAAUAAGCGGAGGA
rnacentral:misc_RNA from 1 species